rnacentral:rRNA from 1 species
ACGAACGCUGGCGGCGUGCCUAAUACAUGCCAGUCGAGCGGACGGAUGGGAGCUUGCUCCCAGACCGUCAGCGGCGGACGGGUGAGUAACACGUGGGCAACCUGCCUGUAAGACUGGGAUAACUCCGGGAAACCGGGGCUAAUACCGGAUAACUCUUUCCCUCACAUGAGGGAAAGCUGAAAGAUGGCAUCUCGCUAUCACUUACAGAUGGGCCCGCGGCGCAUUAGCUAGUUGGUGAGGUAACGGCUCACCAAGGCGACGAUGCGUAGCCGACCUGAGAGGGUGAUCGGCCACACUGGGACUGAGACACGGCCCAGACUCCUACGGGAGGCAGCAGUAGGGAAUCUUCCGCAAUGGACGAAAGUCUGACGGAGCAACGCCGCGUGAGUGAUGAAGGUGUUCGGAUCGUAAAACUCUGUUGUCAGGGAAGAACAAGUACCGGAGUAACUGCCGGUACCUUGACGGUACCUGACCAGAAAGCCACGGCUAACUACGUG